UACAGAGGGUGCGAGCGUUGUCCGGAAUUACUGGGCGUAAAGGGCGCGUAGGCGGCCUGAUAAGUAUGGGGUGAAAUCUCACGGCUCAACCGUGAGGCUGCCUUGUAGACUGUCAGGCUUGAGCACGGUAGAGGCAGAUGGAAUUCCUGGUGUAGCGGUGGAAUGCGUAGAGAUCGGGAAGAACACCAGUGGCGAAGGCGACUCACUGGACACAUAUUGACGCUGAGGUGCGAAAGCGUGGGGAGCAAACAGG
rnacentral:rRNA from 1 species